AGCUAUACCAAACUCUUUCAUAACAGAGCACAGAGCAGUACAUGCUUCGUACAUUGCUGCACCUUCUCCUGGUAAUUUUGCAGCCCACAUCCAAUUUCCACUACAUUUAACAUCCUAAAAAUAAGAUGAUUAUAAAUUUACAAAUACUAAAUUACUCAAAGCUUCUGCUACUGCCAUACGUGCUCCAGCAGAUGCAUUCACAAGGCCUUUUAUUGGUUGUUCGCCGAUCGAUGUUGCAAUUCCAUGCUGAAAUAAUAUAUAAGAAAAUUUUUAUAAUAACUAAUCAUUCCUAAAAAUAGAAAUGAUUAAUUAAAAUGCAUUCUCUUACUGUUGAAUACAUUGAAACAGCUGUUACAGCAACAUCAGCUAAAGGAGUAUGUAAUGGACCAACACAUUGUUGUUGUGCAAUUAAUCCUGUGACACAGCGAUCAACUUUAUUAACUAAAUAACGUUUACUAGCAACUGCAGGCAAACGUAGAACUCUAUCAAGAAUUGAAUCCACUGUCAAAUCAUUGGACAAAUAGAUUGGUGAUAAAUGCAGCUGUUUUCUUAUAAGAUUAUAUGUCUAUAGAUAAUAAAUAUUUAAUUGUUAAAA